rnacentral:tRNA from 1 species
GGUAAGGUGGCUGAAGCUAGAGGCGGUAGACUGUAAAUCUAUUUAUGAGAAUUUUUCUCUCUUAUCA